rnacentral:rRNA from 1 species
UACGGAGGAUCCAAGCGUUAUCCGGAAUCACUGGGCGUAAAGCGCACGUAGGCGGAUUCUUAAGUCGGUGGUGAAAGCCUGGAGCUCAACUCCAGAACUGCCUUCGAUACUGAGAGUCUUGAGUCCGGGAGAGGUGAGUGGAACUGCGAGUGUAGAGGUGAAAUUCGUAGAUAUUCGCAAGAACACCAGUGGCGAAGGCGGCUCACUGGCCCGGUACUGACGCUGAGGUGCGAAAGCGUGGGGAGCAAACAGG